rnacentral:lncRNA from 1 species
CAAAUCACUAAUUAAACCUCUCAUAAUACUGAGUCCAAAUCCGAUGGGUAAUCAGGCAUCAGAAUUCAUCGAUAUGUAACCCUGAUCGAAAAGUCCCAACCAGUGGGACUCUUGACCUUGGUACCCAUAAUGUGUGGAACUCGUGAUCAGAGAAUCCUGAUUCUCGAUCAGUGAGUCCCAAACAUGUAGGAUUCUACAUCAGCCAUUAGAUC